CCCGCAGCGCCUCCGCAUCCACAUCGCCCAGCGGGGCGAGGAGCUCGCCGUGCUGGAGACCCGCUCGGACGAGGAGAGGGAGGCCUGGCUGAAGACCCUGCGGGCCAGGGGAGGAGCGGAGCCAGCCUGCAAGCGGACCCACGCCGGCAGCCCCAGCCCGGGAGAUGCCAGCGGCUGCYCGGCUGCGGGCGGGCUGCUGCUGCGCCGCUUCCCGACCCCCAACGCCUACAUGGACGACCCCUUCGGGCAGCUCCUGCCAGCCGCAUCCCCCGACCCCGUCUACUCCAACGCGGAGCGGCUGCAGCAGCUGCAGCAGAGCUUGGACCGCGCAGCCCACAGGCAGCACAGGAGACCCCUGUCCGCCGUGCCCGCCGGUGCCUACAGCAACGCUCCCGGCAGGGCCGUGCCGUCGCAGGCAGCGUGCGCUGCGCCUCGCCUGGGCAAGGCUGCCAGCCAGCAGCGGGUGGAGGUGAGCCCGGAGCUCAAGAACAGGGAUUUCUUCCGGUCCCAGCGCACGCUGACGCUUCCCGAGAGGAAAGGGGCUCGGGACGGCUUGGAUUUCCUCAUCGGGAAGAGAGCCUUCCCCAAGCUGGAGGAGAAGGUGGGGCAGCUGGAGAGGGCCUGCCGCGUCAAGAGCAGGCUCAAAGCCGGCUCCGAGAUGAACCUGCUGGCCAUCGGCAAGUCACUCAAGGGCCACAUAGCCGCCACCACGAGCUCGGCCGGCUCCGAGGGCUCCUUCUUCACGCCACUCCUGAAGCGCACGGCAUCCGCGAAGAGCGCCCUGAAGCGAGCUCCCUCCGUGGUCAUCAUCGAAAAGGGGAAGGUGCUGCAGAAGAGAAAGGAGUGGGAGAUGAAGUCUGCCAUGUGACCAGCCCCUCGUGCCAGCGCCGUGUCCCCAAGGGCAGGAUCCACCACGCACACGUACCCUGCCGGUCUGGGCAUCUCUCGGCACAUUAACGCUGCACGUGGAUCGUGCAGGACCAGCUUGGUAUCUGUGUUUUUGUUUUUUUUAACCAUUGGUAUCAACGCUAUAACUACAUGUAUCUAUUUUUUAUAUAUAUUAUAUAUAUAUAUAAACUUCCUGCCUGUGGGUUUCCAGUUUCUCUGCCGUGGCGCUGAGGGAGGGCAGCCCUUUGCCGGCCCGCUGCCUUCUCCCCCUCCCUGACCCCGGGUCAGGACUGCUCCCAGCAGCCUCGCGCUUUGGGCCCAGUUUUCCGGCUGCAACCUCAUCUGCCGCCAGCUCUGUCCCUGGCGCAGAUCCUGUUGAAAACGGUGCCCAGGCAGCGCCGCCGGCUCCUUUGGAUGCACCCGAGGACCAAGCCACCAGGGGCAGAUGCAGAAGGGCAGCGGCUCUGCAAGGAGAGGGGCCGUCAGGUGCGAGUUUACCCGUUGGAGGAUGAAGGGGACACCUUGUUUCUGUGCCCCAGCACCCAGUAGCGACAGGUUGGUGCCCUGCCACAGCAUCGUGCCCGCAGCGGGGCCRGAGGAGACUGUGGGCUCCCAGACUGGCACCAGGCCUUUUCGGCACCCAGCCCGCUUUCCAUGCGCUCUG
rnacentral:lncRNA from 1 species